GAACUGCUAGAGUCCAUAGAAAUUAAAAAAAAAUAACAAAGCUGUCAAUGAUAAACGGAAUGUCAAAAACCUUAAUAGGGUAUAUUUCAACUUAAUCUAAAAAUAACUAUAUAAUAUUUCAGCACGCCUAUGAGACGAAGACAACUAUUUUGACUUAACAUAAAAUCAAACAUCAAUAAACACCAUAAUAAUUUUUGACACAGUUCAUUACUCUCUUAACGCAAUGACUUAGUGGGUCCGUUCCUAUGCUUUAACAUUUUAACAUUGUUUUAAUUGUGACGUCUAUUUGUGUACUUGUUUCAAAACUAAAUUUACGAUUGCAUGUCAAUCCUUGAAAAAGGCAUGAAUUUCCUGCCGAAACGUCGGAUAAUAUAUCAAUAAAUAUGGUCACAACAUCAUAGACAAGCUUUUUUUAUGAACCUAAACCCAAGAAACAUUGCUAAAAAAAUAUAUCAAGGUUCAAGAAUUAAACUCAAACAAUAUAUGCAGGCAUGGGUGAAAGUAUGCCUUUCUAUCGUGGUAUUGAAACCAAUUUUGGAAGGACAACCGUCCAACAAAUGAAAUUCUACAAUAAAUUAAUGGCUAAACAGACAAAUCUAAGAAAUCGAAGAAUUUUUCUACUAAGAUGUAAAACAGAAAACUUAAUACCAAAUUUUUUAAAUUUACGUAUAGAACAUAUUAAUUUGAAUUCUGUAAACCUUGCGCGUAAAUUUGGUAACGUUUUUAAUCUAUUCGUGAAACAAACAUUGAAUUUAAUCAUAGCGGAUACCACUAUUUCAUUAAAAACUUUAGACUCGGACCUAGAAAAACUGGAAGCAAAACUAAUCGAUUCAUUACCAGCUGAUAUUUUAAAUACAUUUAAAGAAAUAUCCAUACAAUAUAAUGAGCGUAUUUUUUGUCAAACACGAGAUAGAAACAUCCAAAAAA
rnacentral:lncRNA from 1 species